rnacentral:rRNA from 1 species
UACAGAGGGGGCAAGCGUUGUUCGGAAUUACUGGGCGUAAAGAGCUCGUAGGUGGUUUGUCGCGUUGUUCGUGAAAACUCACAGCUUAACUGUGGGCGUGCGGGCGAUACGGGCAGACUGGAGUACUGCAGGGGAGACUGGAAUUCCUGGUGUAGCGGUGGAAUGCGCAGAUAUCAGGAGGAACACCGGUGGCGAAGGCGGGUCUCUGGGCAGUAACUGACGCUGAGGAGCGAAAGCGUGGGGAGCGAACAGG